rnacentral:rRNA from 1 species
GUCUACAGCCAUACCACCCUGAACAUGCCUGAUCUUUUCUGAUCUUGGAAGCUAAGCAGGGUCGGACCUGUUUAGUUCUUGGAUGGGAGACUGCCUGGGAAUACCAGGUGCUGUAGGCU